AGCCCCGUAGUGUAGCGGCCAAUUCCUCUCAGCCUUCAGCUGGUGAAGGGGCCUUUCAUCCGGGAUUUUGGGUCCUGGGACCUCGGUUCGAAUCCGGGCGGGGCUA
rnacentral:tRNA from 1 species